rnacentral:ncRNA from 1 species
UUGAAGGCGGAAGGAGAGACCACAACUUGUGGCGCCGAAGGAGCAAACCAUUCAGAAUGGUGAAACUCUCAGGCAAAAGGAGGUCCGCUGGACG